rnacentral:rRNA from 1 species
GACGAACGCUGGCGGCGUGCUUAACACAUGCAAGUCGAACGGGAAGGCCCUGCUUUUGUGGGGUGCUCGAGUGGCGAACGGGUGGGUAACACGUGAGUAACCUGCCCUUGACUUUGGGAUAACUUCAGGAAACUGGGGCUAAUACCGGAUAGGAGCUCCUGCUGCAUGGUGGGGGUUGGAAAGUUUCGGCGGUUGGGGAUGGACUCGCGGCUUAUCAGCUUGUUGGUGGGGUAGUGGCUUACCAAGGCUUUGACGGGUAGCCGGCCUGAGAGGGUGACCGGCCACAUUGGGACUGAGAUACGGCCCAGACUCCUACGGGAGGCAGCAGUGGGGAAUAUUGCACAAUGGGCGGAAGCCUGAUGCAGCAACGCCGCGUGCGGGAUGACGGCCUUCGGGUUGUAAACCGCUUUCGCCUGUGACGAAGCGUGAGUGACGGUAAUGGGUAAAGAAGCACCGGCUAACUACGUG